AAGGGAACAUAAUGACACUGUCCUUUCAUCUUUGUCUUCCAUGGAUGUGGAGGAACUUUUGUCAGAUGUUAGAAGUGACCCUACCACACCUGCCAGUAGCAGGACCAGAGGAAGCGUUUGUGUGUCUAGCGGUAGUUUCCAUAAUGAAGAUGUAACACCAGAUACAUUGUCUACUGCAGCAAUUGACGUUGAUCAAAUUGAUUUGGUUGAUGAAUUGGACCAUCCAUAUAUACUUUCUGGAG
rnacentral:misc_RNA from 1 species